rnacentral:snoRNA from 1 species
AUCCUUUUCUAGUUCAUAAGCGUGAUGAUUGGGUUUUCAUGCUCAUGUGUAAGAUGUGGCUCCCUCAAACCUUGUUAUGACAUUGGCAUAUUACCCAUCUGAUG